UACGUAGGGUGCGAGCGUUAAUCGGAAUUACUGGGCGUAAAGCGUGCGCAGGCGGUUUUGUAAGCCAGAUGUGAAAGCCCCGGGCUCAACCUGGGAAUGGCGAUGGAUACUGGCUCGCUAGAGUGCGGUAGAGGAGAGUAGAAUUCCCGGUGUAGCAGUGAAAUGCGUAGAGAUCGGGAGGAACAUCAGUUGCGAAGGCGGCUCUCUGGACCAGCACUGACACUGAGGCACGAAAGCGUGGGGAGCAAACAGG
rnacentral:rRNA from 1 species